rnacentral:rRNA from 1 species
UUCCCUACGGGGGGCUGCAGUGGGGAAUCUUGGGCAAUGGGCGAAAGCCUGACCCAGCGACGCCGCGUGGGGGAUGAAGGCCUUCGGGUUGUAAACCCCUGUCAGGGGAGACGAAAGUUCCGCGUUGAACAGACGCGGAAUCUGACGGUACCUCCAAAGGAAGCCCCGGCUAACUCCGUGCCAGAAGCCGCGGUAAUACGGAGGGGGCUAGCGUUAUUCGGAAUUACUGGGAGUAAAGCGCGCGCAGGGGGGGCGGCAAGUGGCAGGUGAAAGCCCUCGGCUCAACCGAGGAACUGCCUGUCAGACUGCUGCGCUUGAGGCCGGGAGGGGGAAGCGGAAUUCCUGGUGUAGCGGUGAAAUGCGUAGAUACCAGGAGGAACACCGGUGGCGAAGGCGGCUUCCUGGACCGGUUCUGACACUCAUGCGCGAAAGCGUGGGGAGCAAACAGGAUUAGAUACCCCUGUAGUCA